rnacentral:lncRNA from 10 species
GGUCACUGAGCGGCGGGCUGCGGCCGCGGGGUCGCUGCCUGGGACUGGCUGCAGCAUGGGCGGUGGCGCGGCCCGGGCGGGCGGAGGAUGCUCCGUGGCUGUUCGCUCGGGCUGCAGCUGCCCUGGCUGAGGGUGGAGGAAGGACCGCGGGGCGGGGACCGCAAGCCCGGAGGCUCGCGCAGCCUCGGCCGGCGGAUGUAGCUGGAGGCGAGUGACGAAGCCGGGCGAGCGCGCGCUGCGCUGGUGCCUGGGGAGCAGCCCGCCAACGCGGAGCCCGCCAACGAGAAGCCCACCAGCCGAUCGCUGCUCGGCGAAGCUGGGGCCGCCGCUGCUGCAGCCCCGCCGCCCCUGGGCCCCGCUGCCGCCGACCACGUCCCCUGCCAGCCAGCCGCCCACCAGGCUCGACUACGGCCCGCGCCGCGCAUGCGCUCCGUCCCCCCCUUAAAGGGCCAGCGCCUUCGCGCCCAGUCCUCCGCCCCCCGCGGCGGUGCCUCUGUCCCAAGUUACCCCAAGGACGCCGGUGGGCAUUCGCUCCCUCCUCACCCAGCUGUCAGGGCGCCGCGAAGCCGGUGCGAAGCUGCGGAGGACGUUUUCAACGUGCCAGAGGGAGCGCAAACUCCAUGGAGAUUCCUAGCGCAGAAGGAAUUCCUGCGGUCGGGAAUUUCUUGAAAAAGAUUCUUCGCAGGGGCCCUGAGCCGAUAAUGCUGAAAUUAACAUCUUUGGAUAUACAAUUCUCUGCUUCUGAAGAAUGAAAAGAUAAAUAACAGAGCUAAGAAAGGGACUGAUGAAACUUACAACAGCAGGUCUCAAAUUUUUGGUCUCAGGACCCCUUUAUGCUCUUAAAAAUGAUUGACAGCCUCCAAGAGCUUUUGUUCAU